AAAAUUAAUUUAGGGUCAAACCCACCGUAACACCGAGUUAGACCCCCCCUCCAGAGAUGAAUGUUGCCGACCGCUUCCUUCUCUAGUUAUACCAACUUUAGUAACGACCGCAGGAUAGUAAUACAGAGAGCCACGCCCUAAACCAAAACGCCACUCUAUAGCCACAAAUAAUGCUCAGAACAGCACCUAACUUCAUCAACAGGACAUAUAGGGUCACAGACAUAGUUCUAUAUUCAGAGUUGUUCUAAGAAAACAAACUUAAGCGGGGGCGUUUCUCCACCUCUGUAGUCUAUAAGCUGGGCCAAUAAACUACUGUAGUAAAAUGAAAAGGUAAAGGUGUUUUUAUUGAGCCGAAUUAUCAAUAAAAUCAUGAUUUUGUUAACAGGUAUGGAUUUAUGUGCUGUCGAGUUAAUAUAUUUGAACAAGAGCACAGUAAAGUUAAAUCAGCUAAUUUUCCAAUGAGGUUCUGUUACUGAACGGAACUACACCAUGUUCUACUGAGGUUAGUACAUAUAGGGUCACAGACAUAGUACUAGACACCAAACAUCUUUUUAACUUUGACUCAUUUCUUUAGCAAAGAGACUAAACACAACUCACCUACUCUCUUCCAGCAGACGCUUGUUUGUAGUGAGACCUCAGGCCAGUCCAUUACAGACUACAGCGGGGUGCCGCAGCUCAAGGAAGAACAUUUAUGAUCAUUUCUUCAUGGAAAUACAAUCAGACCGAGACGCUAAGACAGAAGAACUACCGCGUCUGUAAAAUGAUUAAUAUGAUGAUUAUUACUUCAAGGAAAUGAUAAAGAAAUGAUCAUAAAUGUUCUUCCUUGAGCUGCGACACCCCGCUGUAGUCCCUAAUGGACUGGCCUGAGGUCUCUCUAUAGAGUGGCGUUUUGGUUGAGGUUUGUGUAUUUCUAUCCUGCGGUCGU